rnacentral:lncRNA from 1 species
CCCAAAGUUGACCGGGUUUAAAUAAAGAAAAAAUUAGAUAAAUAAAUAAACAUUUAUUAAAAAAGUCCAUUGAAAGUCCAGGCCUACUGUUGCUACCCAAAGCCCAAAUACAAAAACCCAUAUCCGGGUAUAACCCAAUAGCCGGAACAAUACCUAAUACCCUUAAGCUAAACCCAAACCCAAAUAAGGCCCGUUACACCCAGCAGUCCGUCAGACUCAUUAUCCCUGCUAGCCUAAGUCAGACCUAACCCAUUACAUUACAGACCUUGACCCAAAACAAAACAGCCCAAAAGGCCCAAUAGACUUAAGAGAAACAGGGAAACCCUAGGGUUUCCGAAUACUGUGGCGCCGCAAACAUUUCUGGAAGCUUCGGGGAGUGUCUGGCAACCCCCAAAUCGAGGCCACCGUUUAAUGAGUUGUCCCAAGGGGCUUCAAUGCUCAUCAACGCCCCGAUCCUCGGUCGUCCCUUGGUCUGGCCCCAAAUUACGUUAUGAAUGUCAUGACCAUCACCAAGGCUCCAUCAGCGCCGUGAUCAGUGCACGCGUCUACACCAGCAUGGUCACUGCCAGAUCCCUCGCUCGAUUGCCUGCAAGAAAAGGAAACAAACAGCAGAUACGCGAAAAAGCAGAGUAGAAAAUGGCAAGGAAAUCACAGCACAUCAGUCAAAGAUACAAGAAAUCAGAGAUUUCUUUCCUUAUGUAACAAAUCAGUAGGCUAUAAAAAAAGCCUUUGUAACCCUUGUAACGAUUACACAGAUACAGAAAUAAAGAAACGAAUACAAAUAGUUUCAAAGGUGAUAACUGAGUGACUUGUUCUCUAUUUUUUUUAGCCCAUAUAUAUGAACUGUUUAGCAAAAUACUAAGGGUAUUUGAAAAGAAGAAGAACUACCUGUUUUGGAUCUAAAGGAAUGAGGAUUUUUAAACCCUCCGAUCUUCGUAUACAGUGGCCCUUAGGGCGGCGCGUGGGCGCGUGGACCGGCACGUGGCGUACGAAGGCCAGAACCGGAGCUCCCUUCCUCUCUCUCUUUCAGAGAGAAUUUUUUAGUUUUUUUUUUAAAAAAUCGGGGUUCAAAUGAAUCUUAAGCUGAGAAGGUAGCUUAUAUAGCUUGAACGAAACGGCGUCGUUUUGCGACCCCCAGGAUCCGCGUGUUGACCCGAUUACCUGGGGAGGAUCCGCGCAUUUUUUAAAAUUGGGUUAAUUUCCCAAUCGGUCCUUCUACCCCUUUUGUGUUUACAAUUAAACUAUUUUAUUUAUGAUUUGGCCCUAUUAUUUUAUUUUAGUUUUAAUUUGACCCUGACAGUUGUUAAAUUAUAUUCUGAGAAACGUGGCCGUUUUAAGAAUAGGGCAUUUUGCCCAGUGAGUCCCUCUAAUUUUACGCGCGUUUUAAAUAGGGCCUCAAUUCAGUUUUGUUUCUUUGAAAUUCGCCCUGUAAUUUUGCUGAAUUUUAAAUUUAGUCCUAUAUUUAUUCUAUAUAUAUAUCUAUUUUAUAUAUUGAUAUUUAUUUUUAUCCUUAUUAUUUAUAUUAUAUACUAUAAGAUUAUUUUAUUAUACAUAUAUUAUUAUUCUUCAUAUUACCUAUUAUUUUUCAAAUUAUUUUACAUCAUUAUUUUUUAUAUUAUUAUAUUUUUACUUGUAUUAUAUGUUAAUUAUUUAUACAUAUAAACUUUCAUUAUUUUAUAUUAUAUCUAUUAUAUAUCUUAUUUCCUAUAUAUUUAAAUUAUAUUUUAUAACAUUUAUUUUAUUUUAUUUUUAUUCUAUAUUUUUUAUAUAUAUGUUAUGUGUAUCAUAUAUUAUCUAUUAUAUUAUUCAUUAAGAUUUGUAAAUUAAAUUACAUUUUAAACUCAUAUUAUAUAUAUUAAAUUAUUAAUUAUGUAUUAUUUUAUUUUAAAAUGAUGUUUUGUGAUAUGUAUUAUUUUAUAAAUCCUUUUACCUACUUUUAUUUUAUAUAUAUUUUUAUAUAAUUAUUAUUCUCUUAUAAAUAUUUUGUUAUUAUAUUUUAUAUAUUAUGUAGCAAAUACUAUUUUAAAAUUAUUAUUAAAAUUUAGGUCUUUAUUUGUGUUAUGUGUAUACUUUGUUGACAAUAAUUUAUUCCAUUGUUUUUAUAUUGCAUAUAUCAUGCGUUAUUUUAUAUUUAUUAUUUGAUAUUACAUUUCAUGAGCAUAUACAAUGAUAUUAUAUUACUCUUUUGUAUGCCAUACAUUAUUUAAUUAUUGCUUUCUUAUAUAUAACGUGCAUUAUUUAAUUAUCACUUUGUAUGUUUGUAUAUCUUGUUUAUUCAUUCUCAAUACAUGCUAUAUAUAUAUCUAUGUAUGCAUAUUGUUACUAUUUGCUUUAUAUGUAUUAUUUUAUAUGUAUAUAUCUAAUGCACGAUCUUUAUAUCAUAGUAUUCAUUUUUAAAUGCACGUAUUAUUUACCUACUACAAUAAUAUGUUACUAUGUAUGAUUUAUAAUGCAAUAUAAUUCCUCACACAUCACCAUUUUUUUAAAAAAAGAGCUCCAAGGUUUUCAAAAAAAUAUAAAGGCAAUGCUUGAUGUUUGGAAAUUUCGGGAAAGUAGUGCCCUAACUUAUCGGUUUGCGACUCUUCUCGUUGAGUUCGAAUAAUCAAAUACCCUUUUAAGUUUUUAAAGGUUUUCAAAAUGUAAGUGACUGUCUUGGAAUUUCAAAGAAAUAUGACCAAACUUACUGGAUGUGGCGUUUUGUUGUUUCAAGAUAGGGAUUUUCGAAAGGCUAACUCAAUGUCAAUAUUUUACGAGUGAGUUCCAAUUUUCAAAAUCCAAAAUAUUUCAAAGAGGAUUGCGUCUUAAAAUUUCUAAUUUCCGACCUUAAAGACAUUUGAUAAUCAAUUUGGUACCAAUUUUUGGGCGUUACGAGGGUGCUAACCCUUCCUCGUACGUAACCGACUCCCGAACUCGUUCUUUUGAUUUCGUAGACCAAAACCGAUGAUUUUAAAAUAAAAUUGAUCUAAAGGUGAUCCAAUCACACCUAAAAAGCUUGGUGGCGACUCCCGUUUUCAUUUUUUUAAAGUCGAUUCCCAUUUUCUAAAACUCGAUUUGAAAAUGAUUUCGACAGCUUGGCGACUCCACUGCGGACUAAUAAGAGAGUCAAGCCGUGUAAUUGAUUAUCUCUUGUCUUAAUGUCGGAAAUUAAAAAUUUUAAAAUUUAAUUUUCUUUGCAUUACAUGUGUUUGUGUUAUUGCAUGUGUUGCUAUAUUCUAAUACGCAUUGCAUUUGCAUGACCGUUGUGGUCACACCCUUAAGUGGGAGUGAGAAGCUACGCCUUCGUGAGGUUUUCGCCUCCGUGCAGGAUAGUGGAUCACUUUUGGGAUACAUCCGUACCUAUGGUUUCGUGAGAUUUUCAUCUCCGUGUAGCCAUAGGGAAAUGUGUCCCCCUGAACUGAACUCGAUUCAAAUGAGCCUAUAAUGGGUGAGGAUCGAGGAAUCUGCUGGUUCAGGUACCUCAACUUUAGAACUAAACCACAUAUAGAAGGACCGUAAGAGCUCAACCUAGAUAGAAUUAUACCGUAAUUAUUACCCUUACAGGUUAUCUUUGAGUUUAUUGUUAUCAUGUGAUACUAACUAUCUCUUUUCUUUUGUUGCAUAUCAUUUCGCAUUUAAAAGGUAUCAAUUCGCGGUCAGUGUCUAAAUUAGAGAGUUUUAUUAUAGAGAACGGACUUCUUGAUAGAGUGGAGAGCAAUGCCAACGUCCAUAGAUGGUCUGAGCAAACUCAGUUAGAAAAGGGAGAUAGUAUAGCUGUGGGAUAUAUGUCGGAGCUGUCAGGAUAUACUCGCAUCAGUGUCACGCAGGAUAAUCUCCAAGAACUUAAGGAGAUUUGGGAUCAAUGGGGCAACGAGACUAAACAGUUAUUCUAUGGUAAUUACGUAGAUUUACCUUACUUGCUCGAUGUUCAAAUAGAUGAGCACUUGUUCCGAGCCCUCGCUCAGUUUUGGAAUCCAGCGUAUAGUUGCUUUACUUUUGGGGAGGUAGACUUGGUGCCUACCGUAGAGGAGUACACUGCCUUGUUACGUUGUCCCAGGUUCCAGGUUGAUAGAAUCUAUUCUCGAGCUGCUAAUGUCCCUACCUUUUGGAAGAAAUUGAUGACUAUUACAGGGAUGAGUGAGCAGUGGAUUACGACCAGAAUUAAAGAGAACGGUGAGUGCAAGUGCAUUUCAUGGGACGCUUUGAAGGGUCUGAUUUUGAUGCAUCCCGAUGAAACAAAGAGGGUAGAUGUUUUUGCCUUAAGUUUGUAUGGAUUGAUGGUGUUCCCUAGGGCUUUGGGAUAUGUGGAUGAGGCAACCACGGAUCUUUUCCAUAGACUCAGUAAGAGGGUCACUUCAGUCCCUGCAAUUUUGGCAGAGACAUUCAGGUCCUUAGGCACAUGUAGAAAAGCUGGUGCAGGCAGGUUUGUUGGUUGUGUACAAUUGCUUCUAGUUUGGUUCUAUAGUCAUUUUCAAUUGGUAGAUAAGGUCGUUUGUCGGGUUUUCUUCGAGGAUUACUCACCGCUGAAGGGCAUAGUCGCUUCAACUAGGAGAGUUGAUGUUCCAGAGGAGAAUUGGAUAGCACUACUUCAAAAUCUUCAGUCGAAAGAUGUUGAGUGGAGAGCUCCAUGGAUGAUUCCUGGUGAGAUUCUUUACCGUUGCGGCAGUUUCGAUUGGGUCCCUUUAUUGGGAAUUUGGGGUGCCAUUGGUUAUGCCCCCUUGCUCGUGUUAAGGCAAUUCGAUUUGAGGCAGUUCGUGCCAGCAACUCAUGGGCUAACUCAAAGUGAGUUCGCAUAUAGAGGAGCUGAUUACAAGAAAAGGGUCGGUGAGAUCUCUAGCGCUUGGAACAAGGCGUGCCGAUUGAAAGGAGUAGCUAUUGGCCCUGCUACGACUCCAGAAUAUGUUGAAUGGAGAGGUAGAAGGAUCAAUGAUAACAUUCCUGAGCCAAAUAUGGAAAGAGCUCGACCGAUGGAGGAAUAUCUGCAAGUGAUGCCCUCGGAGUUAGAAAUUAUGAAGCAAGAAUUUGAGAGGAAAAAUCUGGAGCUCGAGAAAAGGAUAGCAAAGCUUGAAGAAGAAAAAAUGUACUUGAGUUUAGAUAUUGAUGUCCAGAAGAUGGAGGUCGAAAAAAAAAGAAAGGAAGGAAAAGAGGAAGAUUGAAGAGGAUAGAGAUGACUUGAAGGAAUACUACAAAAAGGCACAGGUAUCCUUGAGAAGAGCGAAAAUAGGAGGGUCUUCAGAUCAAUUGCAGAAAGAGGUCCAAGAAGGAAAGGCAAGAGCUGAGUACUGGGAGAAGAAGUUUCAAGAGAUGCAAUCGCGAAAUUUGGCAUUAGAAGAAGAGAAUAAAGGGUUGAAGUCUAAAGUAACUGAGCUUGGAAGAUCCCUUCGAUGGCAUCGCAACCAUGAUUCUACGGUCGAGUUAAAAGAGCUAAAGAGUAAAGUUGAAGAUUUGGAAGCAGCAUUGCAGGAAAGUAAACUUCAGAUCGAGCAACUCGAGACACAAGGAGAUUAUCUAAAGGGAGAGCUUCAUCAGUCUAGAGGGCAGAUUAGAGAAAUGGAUCAUGUCAUGGAAGAAGCCAUAGCUCAGAUUCGAGAGGUUGCUGAAUAUGUGCGAGACUUGGUUGUACGAGCCGAGGUAUUGAGUAUGAUGUGUGGGUCGUCGUCAGACAUCGGAAAAGAGUUAGCCCUUUUAUUAGAUAAAGUUAAAACUUUGGGCAUUAGGGCGAAAGCAUACUUGUAAUCCAUUUAUAUGUAAAGAUAUUCUUUUUCUAAAUGAAGUUUUCUAAAUGAGAUUGAAUCGAGAUUGAUGCCUUUGUUGCAUUCAUACAUUUGCAUUACAUCAUAUCAUAUGCAUUCAAGGUUAUAGAAAGACCCUAAUUAGUUAAAGUUUCUUUAUAAAGGUAGAAAAGAAAAACUGGAAAUUACGCAUUCUUACGGCACUCGCACUAAAACUAAGAACAUGGAUCAAAGGUUUGAGCAGUUGCAAAAGGAUAUGCAAGACCAGUUGCAAGAGCAGUUGGCUAAAAUGCAGAAUGAGAUGAGGGAGCAAAUGAUGGAAGCUCAGAGGAAUAUAAUGGCCGAAAUGGCUCAGUUACUGAGGGCCACUGAUAAAGGAAAGGCUCCUAUGGCCAUCAUUGAAGAGGAAAAUGAGGGUCCUCUUCUAGGUUUUACACCGCCGCAUGUAUCAUUGCAAACCGAGGCACCUCCUAGAAGGCCAUCUACUACUGUGAGGCCUCAGCAUGGGCUAAUCGAUGCUGGUAUCCAUGUGAAUUUUUCGGUUGGUUCAGGGCUUAAUAUGGGUGACAAUCUUACUAAUCCUCUUGUUCCUGAUCUAGAUAUGGUGAAAAAGGAAUAUUUGAAGGCCGAAGCUGCAAGGUAAUUAGAUGAACGCUGUAGAUGGUUAGAAGAAAAGUUCAAGGCUUUGGAAGGCACUGGCAAUAAUCAUGGGGAUGAUGCCAAGGACUUAAGUCUAGUCCCAAACCUAGUGUUACCUCACAAAUUCAAAAUGCCAGAAUUUGAAAAAUACAAUGGUACUACUUGCCCAGAGGCCCACAUCACAAUGUUUUGUAGAAGGAUGACGGGGUAUGUAAACAAUGAUCAGCUGUUGAUCCAUUGUUUUCAAGAUAGUUUGAUAGGUGCGGCAGCCAGAUGGUACAAUCAGUUGACCGGGCUAGAAUAAGUUCAUGGAGGGAUCUUGCAUAAGCCUUCAUGCAACAGUAGAAUCAUGUAACAGACAUGACCCCUGACAGGAUUACCCUGUAAAACAUGGAGAAGAAGCCUAAUGAGAAUUUUAGGCAAUAUGCACAGAGGUGGAGAGAGGUAGCGAUAGAGGUUCAACCACCACUGUUGGAGAAGGAGACCACUAUGUUAUUCAUUAAUAUUUUGAAAGCCCUAUUUAUUACUCAUAUGAUUGGAAGCACUACUAAAAGUUUUGCGGACAUAGUUAUGGCAGGAGAGAUGAUAGAGAAUGCCAUAAGAGGGGGAAGAAUUGAAGGAGAGGGAGUCAAAAGAUCAGCCCUAAGAAGAAAAGACAAUGAGGUAAACAAUACAAGUGGUUUUAAUUCAAAAGCAGUCACAGUUAGCCAGCCCAAAGUAGCCACAGUUGGGCAACAAGUCUCUUAAAAGCAGGAAUCCAACACUAGGUAUGAGAGGAUGCAAUUUACACCUAUACCUGUGACGUAUAGGGAACUCUAUCAAAAUCUAUAUGAUGCGCAUGCUAUAGCCCCUUUCCAUUUAAAACCAUUACAGCCUCUGUAUCCUAAAUGGUAUGAUGCAAAUGCCAGAUGUGAGUAUCAUGCUGGAAUAUCGGGGCACUUAAUCGAGAAUUGUACUGGAUUCAAGAAAGCCGUAGAGAGGUUGAUCAAGAAUGGGGUUUUAAAAUUUGAGAGUACCUCAAAUACUGAGAAUCCUUUGCCAAACCAUGACAAUCAGGGAGUAAAUGCCAUUGGUGAAGCCGGUGAAAAAAGGGAAAAGGAAAAUGUUGAUGAGAUAAGGAUGCCUAUGAGGGUAAUCUGGAAGGAGAUGAUGAAGAAAGGUAUGUUGACCUUUAAAAAUACGAAAGAAAUAAUGUGGGAUUACGGUGAGUUUCGUGAAGAUUGCGAGGAAUUCAAGGCCUUGGUGCAAGGCUUCAUAGACAACAAAGAGCUACAGGUUUAUGAAGGUAGCUCUAGUGAAAAGCAAGUAUGUGUGUUGGAAAAUGAACAGCAAAGAACCAACAGACCAAGGAUCAUUAUCUCCUUGCCAGGGAAUAAUGAAAUAAGGACACCAUCAGCGCCCAAGGUUAUUAUCCAUACACCUACUCCUUUCCCUUACAAGGAUAGCAAGAAAGUACCAUGGAGUUAUGACUGUAGCGUGACGGUGCCGGGAGAAGGAAACAUAGCCAGCGCAUCUAAAGAUGUACAAGAGGAAGGUUCCCAUACGUGAAGUGGGAAGCGUUAUGAUAUGGGGGACGUCAGGGUGGAGCCCACAAAAUCUAAGAAUGCUGAAAUUGAGAAAAAGAGUGAAGUACCUGUUAACGAGCCGGUGAGAGAGGAGGAAGCUAAGGAAUUUCUAAAGUUUCUUAAGCAUAGUGAGUACAGUAUGGUCGAGUAGUUGCGUAAGCAACCAGCGCGUAUAUCGAUUUUAGCCUUACUGCUAAGCUCUGAAGUGCAUCGAGAAGCGUUGUUGAAGGUACUCAACGAGACAUAUGUCACUCAUGAUAUAUCUGUCAAUAAGUUGGACCGGUUGAUAAAUAACAUCAAUGCUGAUAAUUUCAUCUACUUCAAUGAUGAUCAAAUUCCACCUGGGGGCAUAGGGUUAACUAAGGCUUUGCACAUCACCACUCGUUGCAAAGGAUACACGUUUCCAAGUGUACUCGUUGAUAAUGGGUCCGCUUUGAACGUCCUUCCAUUAUCCACAUUCAACAGAUUACCUAUUGACAGUUCACACAUGAAGACAUGUCAUAAUGUGGUAAGAGCCUUUGACAGAACUGAAAGGAAAGUAAUGGGACGAAUUGAUAUCCCUCUGGAGAUUAGACCAAAUACGUAUGAAGUUGACUUCUUGGUAAUGGAUAUCAAGCCCUCCUAUAAUUGUUUGUUGGGGAGGCCAUGGAUACACUCGGCAGGAGCGGUGCCUUUUUUACUGCGCCAAAAAUUGAAGUUGGUGACAGAUGGACGCUUGAUAACCAUCAAUGCAGAGGAGGACAUCAUAGCAGUCGUCACUAGUAAACCUCCUUAUGUGGAGACAAAUGAGGAGGCUAUUGAGUGUUCUUUUCGUUCUUUAGAAAUUGUUAAUACUACCUUCAUUUCGGAGGGAAGCGAGGUGCUGGUUCCCAGGAUGUCUAGAGCAACAAGGAUGGCCCUACAAAUAAUGAUGGGGAAAGGAGCAUUGCCAGGAAAAGGACUAGGAAAAUAGUUGCAAUGAGGGAUUCAAGUCCCAAAAUUGAUGGAGAAGAAGGAUCGCUUUGGUUUGGGUUUUAAGCCAGACCAUAAACAAAAGAGACAAGAGAUGAAAAAGCGUCAAGUAAGAAGGAAGGCGCAUUUGAACGGAGGAGAAGUAGAGUGGGAACUGAUGACAUUCCCACCUAUAUCCAAAACCUUUAAGUCAGGAGGGUUGCUAGUAAAAGAGAGUCAUCAAAUCAAUAUUGUACAUAAUGAGUGGUUUGGACAGGAAAACCUUGAGGGUAUUCACCCUUACGAACCGGGGAGCUCUCUGAACAAUUGGACUGCGGAGGAUCUUCCUGUAGUCUUUAGAAAUUUUUCAGAGUAAUUCUCGAAACAUGUUUAUUACUCUAGGGCCUAGGAGUAGUAAGAUUACAUUUUGUGAAAAUAGGCCUAUGUUCAUAUAUUAUUAUUCAAAUAAAACAUAACUUUUACCAAUUUAAAAGAGUAUUGUCUCAUUUUUAUCAACCAAUAUUUCUUUAAAUUCUAACAAUUCUUAUUCUUUUAUUCAUAGCACAUAAACGAUCAUUCUCAAAUUCAUUCAUUCUUUAUAUAUUCUUUCAUACCCCUUACAGGUCUCUAGAUAUCAAUGAUAUGAGCGCUAAUACUGCCGUUCCUGAUUUCUCUUGUGAGCAAGACAUGUGUUUAGAGGAGCCUUAGGAUUUUGAAGAUGUUCAAGAUUGUGACGUAUCUCUCGAUCUAUUAAGAAUGGUAAAACAGGAGGAGAAACAAAUCAUGCCACAUGAAAAAGAGGCAAUAGAUAAUAUAGCCCUAGAGGAAGGGAAGGAGGUCAAAAUUGGAACACUGAUCGCUAAUGACACAAGGCGUAGCUUGAUUGAGUUGCUUCAGGAAUUCAAGGAUAUCUUUGCAUGGUCUUAUCAGGAUAUGCCCGGAUUGAGUACUGAUAUUGUAGUACAUCGUCUUCCGAUAAGACAAGAAUGUAGACCGGUCCAACAGAAGUUGCGAAGGAUGCGGCCAAACAUUGUCCUGAAAAUAAAAGAUGAGGUUAAGAAGCAGUUUGAUGCAGGAUUUCUGCAGGAAGUGAAGUACUCUGAAUGGGUAGCUAAUAUUGUACCUGUUCCUAAGAAAGACGGGAAGGUACGAAUGUGCGUUGAUUACAGAGAUCUAAACAAAGCAAGCCCAAAGGAUAAUUUUCCUCUACCACAUAUCGACACUUUAGUAGACAACACAGCGGGAUAUUCGUUGUUCUCCUUCAUGGACGGCUUCUCAGGAUACAAUCAGAUAAAGAUGCAUCCAGAUGAUAUGGAUAAAACUACUUUCAUAACAUUAUGGGGCACCUUUUGUUAUAAAGUAAUGCCGUUUGGGUUGAAGAACGCAGGGGCAACAUACCAACGAGCCAUGGUAAACUUGUUUCACGACAUGAUGCAUAAGGAUAUUGAGGUAUACGUUGAUGAUAUGAUCGCCAAGUCGCGAACAGAAAAAGAACACAUUGAGGUCUUGAGAGGAUUGUUCUUAAGAUUGAGAAAAUUUCAGUUGAAGCUCAAUCCAGCAAAGUGCACCUUUGAAGCCAGAUCGGGGAAGUUAUUAGGCUUCGUAGUCAGUAAAAAGGGAAUUGAAGUUGACUCAGACAAGGUCAGAGCCAUACGGGAGUUGCCUCCACCACGUACUCAAAAAGAAGUUCGAGGAUUCCUAGGAAGGUUGAAUUACAUUGCUCGGUUCAUUUUACAAUUGACCAAGAAAUGUGAUCCUAUCUUUCGUCUCCUCAGAAAGCACAAUCAAGGUGCUUGGGAUGAAGAAUGCCAGAAUGCUUUUGAGAAAAUCAAGCAGUAUUUGUUGAAUGCUCCAAUGUUAUCUCCGCCUAGUCUAGAUAAACCGUUAAUACUAUACUUGUCAGUGUUUAGCAAUUCUAUGGGAUGUGUGCUUGGUCAGCAUGACGAGUCAGGGAAAAAGGAAAAGGCAAUUUAUUAUCUCAGUAAGAAAUUUACUGAUUGUGAAAUGAGAUAUUCACUAAUCGAAAAGUUGUGCUGUGCGUUGAUUUGGACCACACGGAGAUUAAGACAAUACAUGCUAUACCAUACAACUUGGCUCAUCUCAAAAUUAGAUCCAUUAAAAUACAUGAUGGAAUCAACGGCUCUAAAUGGAAGAAUGGCGAGAUGGCAAAUUUUGCUUUCAGAGUUUGAUAUAGUUUAUGUAAGUCAGAAGGCUAUCAAAGGAAGUGCGGUGGCAGACUUCUUGGCCAGUAGAGCUUUAGAGGAUUACGAGCCAUUGAAUUUUGAUUUUCCAAAUGAGGAGCUAAUGUGUAUAGCAGCAACUGAAGAUUCUCCAUGGAAGCUAAAUUUUGAUGGGGCUUCUAAUGCAGUCAGAAAUGGAAUUGGGGCAGUCUUGGUAUCCCCGAAUGGCGACCAUUACCUGUUCAUGUGCAAGUUGGAUUUUGACUGUACAAAUAAUAUGGCUGAAUACGAAGCAUGCAUCAUGGGGCUCCAAGCGGCCAUAGAAAGAGGCAUAAAAACCCUAGAAGUAUAUGGAGAUUCUGCGUUAGUAAUCUAUCAGUUAAGAGGUGAAUGGGAGACAAGAGACCCUAAGUUGAUCAAUUAUCGAAUGGUAGUUUUAGGGUUACUAAGAGAGUUCGAUGACAUCACCUUCAACUAUCUCCCACGAGAUGAGAAUCAGAUGGCAGAUGCUUUAGCAACCUUGGCUUCACUGAUUAAGGCAAACAAAGAGGAAGAGAUGAGACCAAUUCAAAUGAGUGUCUAUGAAUUUUCAGCUAGCUGUUGUAACCUUGAAGAGGAAGAAAAGGAUGACAAUCCUUAGUAUCAGGAUAUAUUGCGAUAUGUAAGAGAUCGUAAAUAUCCAGCACAGGCAUCCGAAAAUGACAAACGAACCCUGAGAAGAUUAGCUUGUGACUAUGUUUUGGACGGGGAUGUUCUGUAUAAGAGAAGGAAAUACCAAGUACUUUUGAGAUGUGUCAAUGCUGUGGAAGCCAAGCUAAUUCUAGAAGAGGUCCAUGAAGGUGCAUGUGGUACGCAUGCAAAUGGGUUCACGAUGGCAAGACAAAUCAUGAGGUUUGGCUAUUACUGGGCCACUAUGGAAGGAGACUGUAUCAAUUAUGCCAAAAAAUGCCAUAAGUGUCAGAUUUAUGGGGACAAAAUUCAUGUACCACCCUCACCUUUACAUGUCAUGACGUCUCCAUGGCCAUUUUCCAUGUAGGGCAUGGAUAUCAUCAGACCAAUAUCGCCGAAAGCUUCGAAUGGACAUCGGUUUAUUUUCGUAGUUAUUGACUACUUUACAAAAUGGGUAGAGGUUGCUUCUUACGCAAAUGUUACUAAGUCAGCUAUAAGUCGAUUUUUGAAGAAGGAAAUCAUUUGUCGGUAUGGAGUGCCUGAGAGGAUCAUAUCCGACAAUGUAUUGAAUUUGAACAACAAAACGAUAGCAGAGGUUUCGACCAGUUCAAAAUCAAGCAUCACAACUCUUCACCCUAUCGUCCAAAGAUGAAUGGGGCAGUGGAGGCUGCCAAUAAAAACAUUAAGAAAAUAGUGGGAAAGAUGACUGAGACUUAUAGAGAUUGGCAUGAAAAGCUACCGUUUUCACUCUUGGCUUAUCGAACAUCUGUUAGAACUUCUACUGGGGCAACUCCGUUCUCGUUAGUUUACUGGAUGGAAGCAGUUUUACCUAUUGAAGUGGAAAUACCCUCUCUCCGAAUUUUAACAGAGAUAAGGUUAGAUGAAGCUGAAUGGGUUCAGUCUCGAUAUGACCAGCUAAACUUGAUUGAGGAAAAGAGGCUGAAGGCUAUCCAACAUAGUCAGAUGUACCAGAAGCGUAUGAUACGAGCUUAUGAUAAAAAAGUUCGUCCAAGGGAAUUCCAUGAGGGGGACCUUGUGCUAAAGAAAAUCAUUCCCAUUCAAAAGGACUUUAGAGGAAAGUGGAUGCCAAAUUGGGAGGGGCCAUACGUCGUGAAGAAGGCUUUUUCUGGUGGUGCAUUGAUUUUGACAGAAAUGGAUGGAAAAAGCCUACCCAAUCCGGUGAACUCAGACUCAGUUAAAAAUACUUUGUCUAAAAGCGAAAAGAAUCCAAGGUGAAAACCUGCAAAAGGGCGCCUUGAAUUUUGAAAAAAAAAUGGAUAGGCCAAUGUGAAAACCCACAAAGGGCACCUUGUGACUAAAGGGAUUUUGAGUUGAAAACCUGAAAGGGCAGCUCAAAUUUUGAAGGGCAUACAGCAAACUUGCUAUAUUUGACUUGACAGAGAGUGAGGCACAGUGUACAUUGGGGCAUCAACAAAGUACUUUGGAUCUUUUAAACACAUGUCGAACUCAAGAAAGGCUUCGGGGAACUAAUGUAUAGAUGCUCAAGCGGCGAUAUUUAUCCUGUUUGCUGUCUUUAGAUUCUAUUUCUUCUUAAAGAUAUGCUAUCAAACUUAUUUCCUUUGUACUGUUAACAAUUCGAAUCCAAUUAUUCUCAAAGAUUUACUCAUCUCCCGAUAUUUUUUAAGUAUGUUGCAUUGAAAUAAUGAUAGAUGAGCUAAAAUAUUUUCACAAAAGAAGUUUUACACAUCACUUUGGAAUUUCUAGAUAAUACAAGAAACUAAAACAGGACAAUUGUUCGAGAAAUUCACGUAAGUAAGGAAUGAAGGAACUCGAGAGAUUUCUUUCUUCCAGUUCAAAAAGAAAUGGAUGAUUCAAUUCUUACAGACAUCCUCAAUAGAUCAUAGCAUUGGAGGAAGGCCUACAAGCUGAGUAAGAAUAAAGUUUUGAGAAAGAGAAAUGAAGGAAUGAAUAAUGACACCUGAGAUAGGGGUUAUAUUCACAGCACUUUGCAUCAUAACAUGUUAAGGGCAUUUGACUCAUUUCAAUCAUAGCAUACUUAGGCAUAGGCACAUACUCAUCCUACAGGUCAUGAAGAUCAAAGAUUUCAACAUGGUAGCCUAUGCUUAUAGGAAAUAAAUUGAAGACAACAGAUCUAAACUUCAGACAUUUAUGUUGAAGCAGAUCCAAGAUGAUUUGGUAUUCUUGUGUUUACAAGAAACAAGUCGAGGACAUAGCAGAUUUGACUCUCAGACGUUCUCAAAGAUAGCAGAUCUAACCUUCAGAUGUUUAUACUGAAGCAGAUCCAAGAUGAUUUGGUAUUUUUGUGUUUACAAGAAACAAAUCGAGGACAUGGCAGAUUUGACUCUCAGAUGUUCUCAAAUAUAGCAGAUCUAACCUUCAGAUGUUUAUACUGAAGCAGAUCCAAGAUGAUUUGGUAUUCUUAUGUUUACAAGAAACAAAUCGAGGACAUAGCAGAUUUGACUCUCAGGCGUUCUCAAAUAUAGCAGAUCUAACUUUCAGAUGUUUAUACUGAAGCAGAUCCAAGAUGAUUUGGUAUUUUUGUGUUUACAAGAAACAAAUCGAGGACAUAGCAGAUUUGACUCUCAGACGUUCUCAAAUAUAGCAGAUCUAACCUUCAGAUGUUUAUACUGAAGCAGAUCCAAGAUGAUUUGGUAUUCUUGUGUUUACAAGGAACAAAUCGAGGACAUUGCAGAUAUGACUCUCAAAUGUUCUGAAACAGACUCAAGAUGAUUAGACAUCCUUGCAAAUUGAAGAAGUAGAAUCAGUGUCUCUAUGUUCGGCGGAAAGCAGAUUGAAGAUCAUAGAAUCGAUCAAAUUUGGGUCUUUCUAUGAAUCUUUGCUUGAUUCCUGUUACACAGCAAUAAACAAAGAGGGGCAGCUGUAAUAGCCCAAAUUUGACCGGGUUUAAAUAAAGAAAAAAUUAGAUAAAUAAAUAAACAUUUAUUAAAAAAGUCCAUUGAAAGUCCAGGCCUACUGUUGCUACCCAAAGCCCAAAUACAAAAACCCAUAUCCGGGUAUAACCCAAUAGCCAGAACAAUACCUAAUACCCCUAAGCUAAACCCAAACCCAAAUAAGACCCGUUACACCCAGCAGCCCGUCAGACUCAUUAUCCCUGCUAGCCUAAGUCAGACCUAACCCAUUACAUUAUAGACCUUGACCCAAAACAAAACAGCCCAAAAGGCCCAACAGACUUUAGAGAAACAGGGAAACCUUAGGGUUCUUGAAUACUGUGGUGCCGCAAACAUUUCUGGAAGCUUCGGGGAGUGUCUGGCAACCCCCAAAUUGAGGCCACCGUUUAAUGAGUUGUCCCAAGGGGCUUCAAUGCUCAUCAACGCCCCGAUCAUCGGUCGUCCCUUGGUCUGGCCCCAAAUUACGUCAUGAAUGUCAUGACCAUCACCAAGGCUCCAUCAGCGCCGUGAUCAGUGUACGCGUCUACACCAGCAUGGUCACUACUGGAUCCCUCGCUCGAUUGCCUGCAAGAAAAGGAAACAAACAGCAGAUACGCAAAAAAGCAGAGUAGAAAAUGGCAAGGAAAUCACAGCAGAUCAGUCAGAGAUACAAGAAAUCAGAGAUUUCUUUCCUUAUGUAACAAAUCAGUAGGCUAUAAAAAAAGCCUUUGUAACCCUUGUAACGAUUACACAGAUACAGAAAUAAAGAAACGAAUACAAACAGUUUCAAAGGUGAUAAUCGAGUGACUUGUUCUCUAUUUUUUUUAGCCCAUAUAUAUGAACUGUUUAGCAAAAUACUAAGGGUAUUUGAAAAGGAGAAGAACUACCUGUUUUGGAUCUGAAGAAACGAGGAUUUUUAAACCCUCCGAUCUUCGUAUACAGUGGCCCUUAGGGCGGCGCGUGGGCGCGUGGAUCGGCACGUGGCGUACGAAGGCCAGAACCGGAGCUCCCUUCCUCUCUCUCUUUCAGAGAGAAUUUUUUAGUUUUUUUUUAAAAAAUCGGGGUUC